GGUGGUGCAUGGUUGUCGUCAGCUCGUGUCGUGAGAUGUUGGGUUAAGUCCCGCAACGAGCGCAACCCUUAUUAUCAGUUGCCAGCAUUAAGUUGGGCACUCUGGUGAGACUGCCGGUGACAAACCGGAGGAAGGUGGGGAUGACGUCAAAUCAUCAUGCCCCUUAUGACCUGGGCUACACACGUGCUACAAUGGAUGGUACAACGAGUUGCGAACUCGCGAGAGUAAGCUAAUCUCUUAAAGCCAUUCUCAGUUCGGAUUGUAGGCUGCAACUCGCCUACAUGAAGUCGGAAUCGCUAGUAAUCGCGGAUCAGCAUGCCGCGGUGAAUACGUUCCCGGGUCUUGUACACACC
rnacentral:rRNA from 1 species